UACGUAGGGUGCGAGCGUUGUCCGGAAUUAUUGGGCGUAAAGAGCUCGUAGGCGGUGUGUCGCGUCGGCCGUGAAAACUUGCAGCUUAACUGUGGGCGUGCGGUCGAUACGGGCAUCACUGGAGUUCGGCAGGGGAGACUGGAAUUCCUGGUGUAGCGGUGAAAUGCGCAGAUAUCAGGAGGAACACCGGUGGCGAAGGCGGGUCUCUGGGCCGAUACUGACGCUGAGGCGCGAAAGCGUGGGGAGCAAACAGG
rnacentral:rRNA from 1 species